GAUGAACGCUAGCUACAGGCUUAACACAUGCAAGUCGCGGGGCAGCAUGGGGGUUGCUUGCAAUCCCCGAUGGCGACCGGCGCACGGGUGAGUAACGCGUAUCCAACCUGCCCUUCACCACGGGAUAACCCGGCGAAAGUCGGACUAAUACCGUAUGUUGUCCAUUGACGGCAUCCGAUUUGGACGAAAGGUUUGGCGGUGAAGGAUGGGGAUGCGUCCGAUUAGCUGGACGGCGGGGUGACGGCCCACCGUGGCGACGAUCGGUAGGGGUUCUGAGAGGAAGGUCCCCCACACUGGAACUGAGACACGGUCCAGACUCCUACGGGAGGCAGCAGUGAGGAAUAUUGGUAAAUGGGCGUAAGCCUGAACCAGCCAAGUAGCGUGCAGGAUGACGGCCCUAUGGGUUGUAAACUGCUUUUAUGCGGGGAUAAAGUGGCCCACGUGUGGGUUUUUGCAGGUACCGCAUGAAUAAGGACCGGCUAAUUCCGUG
rnacentral:rRNA from 1 species